rnacentral:rRNA from 1 species
CCUACGGGAGGCAGCAGUGAGGAAUAUUGGUCAAUGGACGAGAGUCUGAACCAGCCAAGUCGCGUGAAGGAUGACUGCCCUAUGGGUUGUAAACUUCUUUUAUAAAGGAAUAAAACGAGGCACGUGUGCCUUUUUGCAUGUACCUUAUGAAUAAGGAUCGGCUAACUCCGUGCCAGCAGCCGCGGUAAUACGGAGGAUCCGAGCGUUAUCCGGAUUUAUUGGGUUUAAAGGGAGCGUAGGUGGGUUGGUAAGUCAGUUGUGAAAUUUUGCGGCUCAACCGUAAAAUUGCAGUUGAUACUGGCGGUCUUGAGUACAGUUGAGGUAAGCGGAAUGCGUGGUGUAGCGGUGAAAUGCUUAGAUAUCACGAAGAACCCCGAUUGCGAAGGCAGCUUACUAAACUGUGACUGACGUUGAUGCUCGAAAGUGUGGGGAUCAAACAGGAUUAGAUACCCGAGUAGUC